AAGUCGUAACAAGGUUUCCGUAGGUGAACCUGCGGAAGGAUCAUUAACAGAUUUCCGAAAGGAAUAUCUAAUUAUGUGUGAACUGUAUUGUCUUGGCUGGAAAUCUUUUUGACUCAUGGUCAUUGGGAUGGUCAGUCGGGACAAACCAACAAUCUAUAUACCAAUUGACUGAAUAUAAAAACAAACCUAGAAAACUUUUAGCAAUGGAUCUCUAGGCUCUU
rnacentral:misc_RNA from 1 species